UAGCAGUAUCUGUUCACCGCGAUCCCGGUGAUGUUGAAGAUGGAACCGAUGACACUCAGCCCCAUGAGGAAACCACUGACCUGAACAGAGAGAGGGAGAGAGAGUCGAGUGUUUGGAGUCAGAUUGCAGUGUGAGUUGGGUGCCCAUCCGUCAUGGAAGAGAGCGUAGAGGACCAGGGGGUACGGGUAGAAGGCUACCACGAGGUCAGCGAACGCCAAACUCACCACGAACACAUUACCUGGAGAGGGAGCACAACGAGAGACGGUCUCAGUGCCUUGUUUUCAGGGGUCGAACGCAUUUCCCUGAGAAGAAAAGAGACAGAGCACACUCCAAGACAGCGAGGUGGAUGGUCAGGCCGUGUUGCAAGUCACAAAUGGAUUGGAGGCUUGUCUGUGCAACCACUCCGGGAGGAAAACGACCUUUUGUGGGCAAUUUAUCACUCGCUUCACCGUCCACGCUGAGAAGAGUUCACGGAGAAGAGAAGUACUGGCACAAUUACUAUGUUAACGUGUUGCUGUUUUUUCGCCCUUAUUAGAAAUAUAUUAUGAAGCUGUUCACAUGGCUAAUGCAAAUUUAUAUUCCACUAAUAUUCCCAUUUACAUGCAGCCGUGCAUACUCCAAUUAACGUAAAAUGUCCCCAUGAGUAUUCACAGUAUGUACAAUUCAUCCAUCAUCUAUACUGCUUAGCCAGUCUCCAAUCAACCCAAUCUGCAUGUCUUUGGACUGUGAGAGAAGCCAGAAAACCCACGCAGAGGUGGCAAAGUCCAAAUCCAAUGGGCCUGUAAACAUGCAGCUGCUAAGUGGUUUACACCACCGACUUUGGUGCAGAAGGUCGGGGUUCAAUUCCCGAUAAUGGUAUGGCUAAAAUCAAGUUUUGGCCGUUAGGGUUAGGGUUAUUAAUUCCAUUAAUGCUAGCUGCCUACCUCUGAUAUGAGUCAAAUAUCGAUGAUUGCAAGUCGCUUUGGACAAAAGCGUCAGCAAAAUGAAUGAACGUAAUGCAACAUGUCCAAAGAAUGUUCCUAAAACCUGAAUAAUAUUGGAAUAUUCCGCAUGACCUAAAUGGGACAAAUGCUGUUUACAUGACCUGCAUUAAAAUUCCAAACAUUGUCCUAUUCAGAAUAAUAGUGGUAUAUUACUGUGCAUGUAGACAUGCUGUAACUGAACAGAAGUUAUUACUUCAGGCAAGUGCUGUACAGCGAGUUAAACUUCACACCCUCAAACUUCCUGUGUUAACAAUGAUGCUGGUAGCAUUUUAAAAUGACUUAUAACGUGCAGACGUUCAGGACUUGAGGACUUGAGGAGAAACCCCGUCUGACCCUAAAAUGGUCCAGAGCGGCGGGCGAACACACUGUAGUAGUGAUGCACGACAGCAACGUUCCCAUCAAAGCCUCGUGGAUGAACAGAAACAGAUGUCUAUCACGUCUCUAAGACAGAGAGGACCACUCAGCCUCUCCAUACAGGAUGCCAUGACGAGCAUUGGCACCGGCAGUCAUACGCCGCGGGGGCGGAGUGAUAAAUCACAUCAUCAUAACCCAGGACAGAGAGAAAACAGCUUCAUCUACUCUUUCCCAGCAAAGCAUGGAAAGUCAGUUACAUGGUCGUACAAAAAAAACACAACAUGUUAUUGUCGUAAAUUCCUGAUCGAAUUGUGGAACGGGAGUUGUUUUUUUAAUCUAUCUAAAUACCAAGAUAUUUAUGUUCUGUAACCUUCUUCAUAAUGAAUUUGCUCGUGCUUGAGCUGCCUCCCUCGGCUGCCUCUCUCUCGCUCUCUCUUUGCCCCACAUCACCUUUCCUUAGAGGCACCGUGCAAACAAUGUUACAAACACCCAAUGUGAAGCUUUGUUCAUAAAUAACAUAAAUCAUAGGUAAACACAGCCGGUGUUUGCCGUGCUACAGUUGUUAAGCAUCUAGCUCUAAUGCCACACGAUCAAUUGAGUGAUGAACAGUUUCUACAUCAGGAGGAUUAAUCAUUUUAAAUAACUAACACAGAAAAUACAAAAGAUGUCCCAAAUCUUAAUGCACAUUGCAAGAACGAUAAAUGCGAUUUUGUUUGAAUUAUUUAUUUUUUAACCUGUAUUUUAAUGUUAUUUCUGAAAAAAUUCCCAUUUUGAUUCCCUGUUAUGUUACUUUGCUCUUAUACCUAGAUGUGUUUAAAGCUCACACAACACACUGACCGCAAACACAAACAAUCCUCGCGCUCUGCUCUCCGCGCUAAUUUGCUGAGAGCCAAUUAGGGAAACUUAGUUUCAGGUAAACAUGCAAAACCAACCGUAGCUGUCGAGUAAAUCACCUCCAUAAUGAUCACGUUCAGUCAGGCGCGACAACAGAAAGUGGGGGAAAAGGGCAGAGUUUCCCGACUGAACCCUAAAACCAACGAAUGACGCCGAUAAAGAUAUUUGCCUUAUCGCUCAUUAAACAGGAGGUUUCUCCCACUUGUCUUAACCACAGCAGCAGCGACAGAGAGAAAAGCCCCCAACCAAAAACAACAUUCAUGUAAAGUUGAAUCUCACGUGUGUGUUUUAAUUAUAAAAACUGUUCAACGUGUGUAAACGGUUUUGAACAUACUUUAUUAUGCAAAGAACUGAUGCUGCUGCGCCCCUGCACGCUGACGAUUUGCAUAUUGAACCUCAGUCGUAUUCAUUUGUCGGGACAGAGGGUCAUUUCUCGACUGACCUUUAUGCUGUCAAUGCACCGAGAGAAGGGCAUAGCCCAAACCAACUUCGCCAUCGGCGUUUUAUGUGAUCAUCCGCGCGUGUGCUGUUCGUGUUACUGUUUAUCUCGCUGAUCCCCACACUCUUCUGAACGAAUAUUGAAAUACAUCAGUAUGUGUGUGGUGGGAAUGGAUUUGUUUGUUGUUUUGACCAAAGGCCACAAUUAUUUACCAUGCAGAAACUCUUUGACGAUUGGGAAUGAGAACUUGAACUAAAUUAUAAUGCGAGAUUGGAAAAAAAAAAUGCUCUUAGUACGACAGAUAUGAUCCUUAACCAUGUAUUGUA